CUCGCACGAGACAGAGUCUCUUCCCUUCAGUUUUCAUUUCUUCUUCUAUUUUGACCUAAUCGGCUGUGCCUGUGGCUGCUCAAAUCUUCAAUCCAGAGCUGCACCUUUGCUGCGGCUGUGCUUGUGGCUGUUGCGGCUGUGCCUGUGGCUGCUGCGACAGCAUCUGUGCCGCUUCUUCAUCGAUCUCACGAUCUCCCGCCCAGGCCUAGGCACACACAACACAAACCCGAUCAAGAGCCGCCACAACCACCUCCAUUGCCGAAGGGUUUAUAUGGCAGUAUGGAGCUUAUAAUUGUAUACAUGCAGGGAAAAACAAGGAAGUACUUGCGAUAUGUGAGAGCAGCAGGUCCCCUCACAGCUGUUCUUUCGGGCACAAUUUUUGUAAAAAUAUUUAAUCCAUCUUCCAUAUCUUUGGUAGGAGAUAUACCUCAGGGCCUACCAAGCUUUUCUAUUCCUAGAGCUUUUGGAUAUGCUACAUCUUUGAUCCCCACCGCACUUCUCAUUACUGGUGUAGCUAUUUUGGAAUCUGUGGGCAUUGCAAAAGCAUUAGCAGCAAAGAAUGGGUAUGAGCUGGACUCAAAUCAAGAGUCAUUUGGUUGCAAGCAAGGAAACUGUACCCUAUAAUCUAAUGAUUCUUGGUGAAUAAGACUCUCCCUUCUUAGUGUGAUGAAGAUAUGUUGGAAGGUUGCUUUGUUAAGGUUUUGGAAGAAUGGAUGAAGCAGAUUUUUUGCAAGGAUGCUAUCUUUAUGUGUAUUUUUGUGAUGGGUUGUAAUCUUUAAUUUCAUAAGUUUAAUUUGGAUUGCUUGCUUUAUUUGUGUAUUAUUUUUUUGUCAUGGUUUGUAAGAGAUUAUAUUUCCUUUCCUUGCUUGGUUGGUUGAAUGUGUGAAUGUGAUAUUCAUUUAGUUGUUUAGAAACUUAGAUUGGAAUGAUGGAUUUUUAUAGGUUGAA